CCUACGGGGGGCAGCAGUAGGGAAUAUUGCUCAAUGGGGGAAACCCUGAAGCAGCAACGCCGCGUGGAGGAUGAAGGUUUUAGGAUUGUAAACUCCUUUUGUUAGAGAAGAUUAUGACGGUAUCUAACGAAUAAGCACCGGCUAACUCCGUGCCAGCAGCCGCGGUACUACGGAGGGUGCAAGCGUUACUCGGAAUCACUGGGCGUAAAGAGUGCGUAGGCGGGGUAAUAAGUCAGAUGUGAAAUCCUGUAGCUUAACUACAGAACUGCAUUUGAAACUGUUACUCUGGAGUGUGGGAGAGGUAGGUGGAAUUCUUGGUGUAGGGGUAAAAUGCGUAGAGAUCAAGAGGAAUACUCAUUGCGAAGGCGACCUGCUGGAACAUUACUGACGCUGAUGCACGAAAGCGUGGGGAGCAAACAGGAUUAGAUACCCGGGUAGUC
rnacentral:rRNA from 1 species